rnacentral:rRNA from 1 species
UACGGGGGGAGCAAACGUUGUUCGGAUUCAUUGGGCGUAAAGGGUGCGUAGGCGGCGCGGUAAGUCGGGUGUGAAAUCUCGGAGCUUAACUCCGAAACUGCAUUCGAUACUGCCGUGCUUGAGGACUGGAGAGGAGACUGGAAUUUACGGUGUAGCGGUGAAAUGCGUAGAUAUCGUAAGGAAGACCAGUGGCGAAGGCGGGUCUCUGGACAGUUCCUGACGCUGAGGAGCGAAAGCGUGGGGAGCGAACAGG